CAAUGUCACUGUCGUACGGGUGCGUAACACGUAUGCAACCUACCUAUCACAGGGGGAUAGCCUUUGGAAACAAGGAUUAAUACCGCAUAAAGCAGGGGCUCCGCAUGGAGAUAUUGCUAAAGAUUUAUCGGUGAUAGAUGGGCAUGCGUCUGAUUAGUUAGUUGGCAGGGUAACGGCCUACCAAGACGAUGAUCAGUAGGGGGCGUCAGAGCGUGGUCCCCCACACUGGCACUGAGAUACGGGCCAGACUCCUACGGGAGGCAGCAGUAGGGAAUAUUGGGCAAUGGAUGCAAGUCUGACCCAGCCAUGCCGCGUGGAGGAAGAAGGUCCUCUGGAUUGUAAACUCCUUUUUUGGGGGAAGAAUAGUUCUCUUGCGAGGGAAUGUGACGGUACCCUAAGAAUAAGCCACGGCUAACUACGUGCCAGCAGCCGCGGUAAUACGUAGGUGGCAAGCGUUGUCCGGAUUUAUUGGGUUUAAAGGGUGCGUAGGUGGUUUGAUAAGUCAGUGGUGAAAGCUGGUUGCUCAACAAUCAAGUUGCCAUUGAU
rnacentral:rRNA from 1 species